UACAGAGGGGGCAAGCGUUGUUCGGAAUUACUGGGCGUAAAGGGCGCGUAGGCGGCCUUCUAAGUCGAACGUGAAAUCCCCGAGCUCAACUCGGGAACUGCGUCCGAUACUGGCGGGCUUGAAUCCGGGAGAGGGAUGCGGAAUUCCAGGUGUAGCGGUGAAAUGCGUAGAUAUCUGGAGGAACACCGGUGGCGAAGGCGGCAUCCUGGACCGGCAUUGACGCUGAGGCGCGAAAGCUUGGGGAGCGAACCGG
rnacentral:rRNA from 1 species